rnacentral:rRNA from 1 species
UUUAACUGAAGAGUUUGAUCAUGGCUCAGAUUGAACGCUGGCGGCAGGCUUAACACAUGCAAGUCGAGCGGGGAAAGGUAGCUUGCUACCUUACCUA